AAACGCUGUACAAAAUAUCGCUGUAUAAGAGGUGCUGUAUAAUUUUUUGAACAGCACAUGUUUAAGCUUUGAUAAAUAUCGGUAUAAAACACGGCGAAUUGACCUGUUUAAGGUCCGUAGACAGAAGGCUUGAACAGGGGGUUGUACAAGAUACCGGCACAUGUAAAGCGCAUGCGUACGCGUGCGCAGUGCUAUGCUAGUGGUCGGAAGAUGGCGUUGAGUAUGUUCGACUCGGAGACUGCUGCAGUGCACUGGAAAAAUCGUGUUUAAUCUCCGUUUUAGAAAAUGAAAGAUUUGGGGUGACAAACCUGCUUCAGGAGUGGGACUUCCCACAUUUAGUUCCAAUCUUUAGAGGUAAAUUCAGUGCUUGAUUUCGAGUGAAUGUUCAUGAAUAAUCUCAAAAGUCAAUGCAUUGUUACCGUUGUUGCAGUGGUUUUAUUGUGUGUGCAUGUACGUGUGUAUUUCUAUAUGAUGGUCGCCAAGUCAGAAAUAUAUAGGCCUAUGAUUUUAUUGGAAAAACCUCGGCUCGGCCGGCAGUCAUUUUGAGAUUGAAAAAAAAAUGGUGCCCCAGUCUGCGCACCCAUUCACUUUUGCACGUGAUUUGGAGAUUUUGAUGAGAAAGGCUGCAUUUUGAGGCUGUCAUAGGGUUAUUUUUCCACCUUUGUGAUCUGAGUCGGAUUUUGCAAUAAAUAUCUGUCUAUGCAUUAGAUGUGUAAAGUUUGCAUUGCGUAUCUUAUAGAUUCUACUAGAAUUGCGCAGAUACGCAUGUGCGCAGACUAUGGUACCUUGAGCGAAGUUCGUGCAGGAUCCACUCGUACUCCACUUAAUUACCACUAGGGCCUACACCAUGCUCCACUUACACGAACUUCGAGACCAUGAACUCGAUCUGAUAUUCUGAGUGACAAAAGGUGGGAUUUUAUGGGGGUGAAAUAUGAAAUUCAUGCAACAUCACGAUCUUUACACAAAGUUUCACUUCUUUCCAUGCUUCUAUUAGUAUUAGUCUCAAAAUUGGUGAUUUGAAUUAUAGCCUACAUGAACUGUGAUGAAGAUCCUCACACAUAAAUAAUUCACUGCCGAUGAUCGCAUGCGGAUGCGAUAUAUGCGCGAGGUACCGGGUCCGGUACAAGCUCGGACCGGGCCGUCCUCAAGCACAUAGCCUACGUGUAAUGUAGGCCUGGCUAGAUCUAUUUCUAGUCAACUUUAUUCAAUUUUGUACGUCUACAUAUGUGUAUGUUAAACCCCAUUAAAAUCUAGGUCUAUACUAUAGGUCCAAACCUAGAUCUAAAUCCUGGCCUAGCUUGGCCAAUAGUCCCUUAUUAUUGGCCAGCCUAGCGAGGAAAGGCCUACAUGCAAAUAGCAACAGAUCUAAAUGUUACAUUGUAAUUGCAGAUGUAUGUACAGUUUGUGAAUGAUCAGAAACUAAUUUUGAAUCUGAGAUACAGGAAUUACAUUUAGGUUGACUUCAUGUAAAUUCCCCACUGUGCAGUAGGGAAUUUUUUAUUGAGAAUUUCUACAAUUUAUCCACUUAUUCCAUCAGUUCUCUAUAGAAUAGUCAGAUAACUUGUGUAAUAAUUAAUGUUACUAUUCUUGAUCUUUGAUUCAUGUUUAUCACAGUUAAAUGUUGCAGAAGAUGAGCAUGAAGUCACCUACUGGAUGCAAUAUUACUCAUCACCUGACAACAUUGUUGUUAAUGUGACGAACCUCGGUACUGAGAUACGAGUUGACUAUAGGAAACCCGCGACCAAGCACAGCAGAAAUUCUUGACAAAUAUCUACAGCUUUUGGGAAUGAUUGAUCAAGACUUUGAUUUAACAAUUGAUGCAGCUCCUGGUGCCCUUUUCACAAUGUGGCCAAAGUUGUCCAGGCAGACUUUGGAAUUUGCGGAGAAGAUUAAUCCAGGGUAUAGAAAGAUCCUAGGGGCUGGAGUGGACCAGAAAAUGACGCAGAGUCAACAAUGAAGAAAAUUUGGCUUUCAGUACUUCCUGGGAUUUUGAUCGGCAGAACGAAAGGGGAAUGAGGCAAAUUAAAUGUGCCGUACUUCAAAGUCUUGAAUCUUUCAUCAAUCUCCAAUUAGAAGGAGCAUGAAGAAAAAGAAGAUGAACAGGAAUUGACAAUGGCGCGUUCCAUACCUGGGAGUGAUUGCACAGUGGCACCCUUGGACCUAAUUUCACCCUGACAUCAAGUCUGUUUUAAGGAGAACCAUGAGAGAAAUUAAUAAAUUAAAGUUUGCCGAAUAUCAAAGAAUAACAGAGUUAUGAGGCUUCAAAGUUUUAAAUUUGUGACAUGACAUGCGAGCAGCUCCCAAUAUGUCAAUCAUGUAAUAUAAAUUCCAUAAAUUGCCAUUUUUAAUGGUUUUCAUGAUAAUUAAAUGGGUUUUUAUCAGAAGCUUGUAUGAAAUAAUGUUUCUGAUAACAUUGAAUCCACAGGUAAAAUCAUUUUCCAAUUUCCCUAGAAAAGGCACUUGUAUAGAAUUGAUAUCACAUAAAAUAUGGGGAGCUGCUCGCAUGUGAAGUCACAAAUUUAAAACUUCAUAACUCUUAUUCUUGGUGGAUUUUCACCAACUAACAUGCAAUGUCAGGAUGAACCUUGCCUUUAAACCUUGUAUUGGCAGCCUUUCAUUGACAUUUACAUACAGUAUUUUAGGUUUUGUGAGCAAGUAUAUGAAAAAGGUGCUAAUUAACACCUACUUCCCCUUCUUAACCCUAACCAGGCCGGGGGGGGGGUUAAAACAACCUUCCCCCAACAUUAUCUGCGAUCAUUCCUCCGCGGGAGAUUUGUUGACCCUGCCACUCUCAGAGUUUAUACUAAGUCUCGCGCAUCUUUUGAGACCAAAUUUACGAUGCCCAGGUACGUUGUCCCGAAAUUAUGCAACAUUUCGUAAGU